AGUGAACGCUGGCGGUAGGCCUAACACAUGCAAGUCGAACGGCAGCACAGGAGAGCUUGCUCUCUGGGUGGCGAGUGGCGGACGGGUGAGGAAUACAUCGGGAUCUACUCUGUCGUGGGGGAUAACGUAGGGAAACUUACGCUAAUACCGCAUACGACCUACGGGUGAAAGCAGGGGACCUUCGGGCCUUGCGCGAUUGAAUGAGCCGAUGUCGGAUUAGCUAGUUGGCGGGGUAAAGUCCCACCAAGGCGACGAUCCGUAGCUGGUCUGAGAGGAUGAUCAGCCACACUGGAACUGAGACACGGUCCAGACUCCUACGGGAGGCAGCAGUGGGGAAUAUUGGACAAUGGGCGCAAGCCUGAUCCGGCCAUACCGCGUGGGUGAAGAAGGCCUUCGGGUUGUAAAGCCCUUUUGUUGGGAAAGAAAUCCAGCUGGCUAAUACCCGGUUGGGAUGACGGUACCCAAAGAAUAAGCACCGGCUAACUUCGUGCCAGCAGCCGCGGUAA
rnacentral:rRNA from 1 species